rnacentral:lncRNA from 1 species
UCUAAAUUUUAUCUUCCACGCUGGUCCAACCAGCGUGGAAUGUUUUUUCCGAAUCUUUCUGUUCCACGCUGGUUGAAACAGCGUGGAAUAUUUGGGUUUCUGCGCUCGUGGGCUUGGAGCUGGACUGGUGGACUGGUGCUCGUGGGCUGGGCUAGAGCAGGAUUUGUAAUUAUGUUCCACGCUGGUUGAACCAGCGUGGAACAUUGAAGGUUUGUUUUUUUUUUCGCGACCAGUAAACAGAAACCACCAUCUUCUCCAAUUUCCGCCGCCAUUCUUCUUCUUCUUCUGCCAUUUCCAACUGAAUUCUGCUUGAUUUUGCUGCUUCAACUUCUUUCUACUCAAAAAUUACCUAGCUCUUUUAAUAUCUUUUGUUAUUUUUCAUAUUUAGCCCCUUUUUUAUCAAUUUUAACUCAAAAGUUUAAUUUUUUUCUAAAUCACAAAUUAUGGCUCCAAAAAGAAGAUUGUGUGGUAAAAUCGUUCAAAAGGUGUAUCAAGGAACUAGUAGUACUAUGGAAGAUCAAUCUUUAGACAAUAUGAAAAUGGAAGUUGCCGAAAUUGAUUUUUCAUAUUUUUGCGAAGUUCGAGAUUAUACACCAAGAGAGCUCGCUCCAUGUACGGGAUCGCAUCUUAGUGAUAACCAGUAUUCCGUCGAUGUAAGUGUUUGAUUUGAUUUUUAAUAUAUUUGAUUUUUAAUAUAUUUAAUUUUUAAUUAAUAUUUAAUUAAUUUUUAAUUAAU